CUGUUGUCAUCCCAUCAUAAUUUUUCACCCAGUGUCCACCAGUGCUAUUGCGAAAUUCCUAACCAACGUUCAGUAUGAUGUUGCGCUCAACAACCGUACCAGCGAAGAGUUCCAAAAUCUGGAAAAACAGAUUAUUGAUGUGAUUGAUGAAAUAUCCCAAACCAGAUAUGGAAAACUCUAUAAAAGAACAAUUGUUAUUGGUUUCAGCAGACCAAGGGAAAGCAGCAGAAGGGCUAAAAGAAACGUCAUGGAGACGG
rnacentral:lncRNA from 1 species